CCUACGGGGGGCAGCAGUGGGGGAUAUUGCACAAUGGGGGAAACCCUGAUGCAGCGACACCGCGUGGGUGAAGAAGCGCCUCGGCGCGUAAAGCCCUGUCAGCAGGGAAGAAAAUGACGGUACCUGAAGAAGAAGCACCGACUAACUACGUGCCAGCAGCCGCGGUAAUACGUAGGGGGCAAGCGUUAUCCGGAUUUACUGGGUGUAAAGGGGGCGCAGACGGCGAUGCAAGCCAGGAGUGAAAGCCCGGGGCCCAACCCCGGGACUGCUCUUGGAACUGCGUGGCUAGAGUGCAGGAGGGGCAGGCGGAAUUCCUGGUGUAGCGGUGAAAUGCGUAGAUAUCAGGAGGAACACCGGUGGCGAAGGCGGCCUGCUGGACUGCAACUGACGUUGAGGCCCGAAAGCGUGGGGAGCAAACAGGAUUAGAUACCCCAGUAGUC
rnacentral:rRNA from 1 species